GAUGAACGCUGGCGGCGUGCUUAACACAUGCAAGUCGAACGGAAAGGCUCCUGCUUGCAGGGGUACUCGAGUGGCGAACGGGUGAGUAACACGUGGGUGAUCUGCCCUGCACUUCGGGAUAAGCCUGGGAAACUGGGUCUAAUACCGGAUAGGACGAUGGUUUGGAUGCCAUUGUGGAAAGUUUUUCGGUGUGGGAUGAGCUCGCGGCCUAUCAGCUUGUUGGUGGGGUAAUGGCCUACCAAGGCGUCGACGGGUAGCCGGCCUGAGAGGGUGUACGGCCACAUUGGGACUGAGAUACGGCCCAGACGCCUACGGGAGGCAGCAGUGGGGAAUAUUGCACAAUGGGCGCAAGCCUGAUGCAGCGACGCCGCGUGGGGGAUGACGGCCUUCGGGUUGUAAACUCCUUUCGCUAGGGACGAAGCGCAAGUGACGGUACCUGGAGAAGAAGCACCGGCUAACUACGUG
rnacentral:rRNA from 1 species